AGCUGGAGUCAAGCUGCCAGCUGCUAUAAGACUUGCAGUCCAGGCAGAAUAGUGAUGGGGAGGGUGGUUAAUACUGGUAAUUUGCAUAGGGCUGUAGUGGAAGGAGUAGUAGGGAGAUAGAUUGCUAAGUAGGGCAGAACCUCAACAAAAGCCAGGUUUUGUCUUCUGGAGUCUGAGACUGCUGCUGCAGAACCAAUUUAGCAAACUUAAUCUAGGUACAUGUUGAAUCAUAGGACAUGGUUAUGAUUCCCAGGGCACAGGCAAUUCAUCAGAGCUCUUAUUUGAAAAAUAAUUCCAAGAAACAGCUAUUUCCUGCCCUGGUCUGAGUUGAGUCUCAGGAUUCCCAAGAAAAGCUCUGGAAAUGACCCAGAUCAACCCACAGAGCUGUCCACUUCCCUUUGCUGAGUCUCAGCAACGCUACUGGUCAGCUGCAAAGCCCACAGAAGUCACUGGGAUUCUUGCUACUGAUUCCAGAAAGUACUCACCAUCAAAACUGACUUAGGCAAGUGUCUUUUUUCUUCAGUGUCCUAACACAGUGAGGUAGUUACUGGCAUCCCAAGCCAACCCCAUACUGCUCCUGGACUUAAAUGUGUGCAAGGAGUACACCACUUGCUCACCCUCUGAGUCUUCUACACGUGCCCAGACUCAUCCCUGAGAUGGAGUUUGUGAAGCUGGUUCUGCAGAAGUUGCCUCAGACUCUAGGAAGCUAAACAUGGCUUUUGCUGCCUCCAUCCACCCCAAAGCUGUUGCCUGUUUCCUGUGCCUUGCACCAACGUGAUCAGAUCUGCAUAUCAGUGCUGUUUCCCUUCUUAUGUGGGAACAACAGAAGCCUGCUGGGCCCUGAUCCUUAAUCAGGGUCUCCAGGCAGCACAGCAAGCAAAUAAAAUAUGUACUAUAGAACUGUGUGUGGCCUGUCUCUUAUGGAUUUGAAGUAUUUUUUUGUCUAGUACACAAUUACCCACCACAUAGCAGGAAGUAGGUUUCUGCUCAGGGCAUGCACAAACCUCUAGCUCUUAGUGAAAAUGAAACUAUGAAAUAUCAGAAAAACUUUCACAAAGUUUAGAGGCCAAGGAGUCCAGUUUUACCUGGAACUGAUCCCUCUGUUUCAUUUCACCCUCUGAGUCUUCCAGAAAAAGCACUUGGAUGCACUAAAAACCUCUCCCCAUCUGUUGUUCCCACAGCCACAAUAUUCAGCCUGGCUGAGCAACUGAAAAUCACACAGAUCCAAACAUGCAGCUUAAAAAUAAACCUGAAAGUCCUUCUGCAUUUACUGACUGAAGGGGAGGCUCUGGUCACUGCUGCUCAUCAAAGAGUGUGGCAGUAAGUCUCUAUGCCCUCUUUGUCCCAGUUCAUCUACAUGUGCCAUGCUGCGGUGCCAUGUGACUUGGCACUCGCAUUCCCAGCUAAUGCCUGUGUGUGAGCAAGUAUUUAUUUUUGCUUCCAGGCAAGCCAGAUUCUUUACCUUAUUAUACCUUUUCCAGGAAAGAGCUGCAUUUUCAUUAAGGCUCUGCUGUUACCCAAGCCUGUAUCAUGUCUGGAGGUUCAGUCAGUUGAUGUUGCAGGACAAACAGCAUUUGCCCUAUUCCAGUUUUGCCCUUAGUCCUGCAGAAACUUCAUGUAUGUAAGUAACCCCCUGAUACUAACUAGGCUGCUUGCAAGGAACUCUUGCAUACAAGAACAGAGGUUACAAGCUUGUUCCAAAAAACAGCAUAUAGUUUA